AUUGAACGCUGGCGGCAUGCUUUACACAUGCAAGUCGAACGGUAGAGGGGGCAACCCCUUGAGAGUGGCGAACGGGUGAGUAAUGCAUCGGAACGUGCCCAGUCGUGGGGGAUAACGCAGCGAAAGCUGUGCUAAUACCGCAUACGAUCUCUGGAUGAAAGCGGGGGACCGAAACGCCUCGCGCGAUUGGAGCGGCCGAUGUCAGAUUAGGUAGUUGGUGGGGUAAAGGCUCACCAAGCCAACGAGCUGUAGCUGGUCUGAGAGGACGACCAGCCACACUGGGACUGGGACACGGCCCAGACUCCUACGGGAGGCAGCAGUGGGGAAUUUUGGACAAUGGGCGCAAGCCUGAUCCAGCAAUGCCGCGUGCAGGAAGAAGGCCUUCGGGUUGUACACUGCUUUUGUACGGAACGAAAAGGUCUGGGUUAAUACCCUGGGCACAUGACGGUACCGUAAGAAUAAGCACCGGCUAACUACGUGCCAGCCGCCGCGGUAA
rnacentral:rRNA from 1 species